rnacentral:rRNA from 1 species
UGGGGGAACCCUGAUCCGCCAUGCCGCGUGAGUGAUGAAGGCCUUCGGGUUGUAAAACUCUUUCGGCGGGGACGAUAAUGACGGUACCCGCAGAAGAAGCUCCGGCUAACUUCGUGCCAGCAGCCGCGGUAAUACGAAGGGGGCUAGCGUUGUUCGGAAUUACUGGGCGUAAAGCGCGCGCAGGCGGCCUUUCAAGUCAGGGGUGAAAGCCCGGAGCUCAACUCCGGAAUUGCCUUUGAAACUGUCAGGCUCGAGUACGGGAGAGGUGAGUGGAAUUCCCAGUGUAGAGGUGAAAUUCGUAGAUAUUGGGAAGAACACCGGUGGCGAAGGCGGCUCACUGGCCCGUUUCUGACGCUCAGGCGCGACAGCGUGGGGAUCAAACAGGAUUAGAUACCCUGGUAGUCCACGCCGUAAACUAUGAACGCUAGCCGUUGGCAGGCUUGCCUGUCAGUGGCGCAGCUAACGCAUUAAGCGUUCCGCCUGGGGAGUACGGCCGCAAGGUUGAAACUCAAAAAAAUUGACGGA